rnacentral:misc_RNA from 1 species
AAAUUACAGGAGAAGUGGAAUUCAGCAAAAAGGAGAGAGACGCCCAGCGGCGGCCAACGUCCACUGCGAGCGCUGAUACGGGGACAGACGUCCACGGACGCUGUCGCACUCUGCGUGUGCGCACCUGCAUCUCCCUCGCUGUUCGCGUGUUUUUUUUUUGCCGCGUGAAGGCUGCUUGUACUCUUCUUGAAAGUUCUCUGCUCACUCGCAACAGCCGCAUCUCCGACCUGCCACCCUUUCUCCUCUUCCUCGAAGCGCUCGCUGCACGCUGCUGCUGCCUUCCGGCUGUGCAGGCAAGGCCCUGUCUCGAGUACGUGCGUGGCGCUCGCCUAAACAAGCGUGUAGGACAGGUGUGGCACACCCUAUCGGAGACUGCCGUGCCGGUGCUAUCUAGAGGCUGUCGCUCUGUUGCUUCUCUCUUCGCGUGACGUCGACCGAGUGAGGCUGCAGGGGAGACGCGACCAGCGGUCAGCCGGCACACUCAGCAGGUGCGACGCGCUGCCGAAGAAGGGAAAGGAGGCGCGAACGCCAACCGCGCGUACGCCGUGGCUUUCUUCGCUUUCGCUUGUGUGCAUCUGCGAUCGAGGCCAUGAAGCUGGAGAUUGUCGAGUGCGUGAAGAACGAGCACGCCGCGGGCGAGACUCUCACGUUUCAGCUCAGCGAGGUGGACAGCUCUUUUGCCAACGCGCUGCGACGUGUCAUGCUGGCGGAGAUUCCGACGCUCGCCAUUGAGUAUGUGACGAUCCGCCAGAACACGUCGGUGCUGCCGGAUGAAAUGAUCGCUCACCGGCUUGGCCUUGUGCCGCUCUUCUCCGAGAAGGCGAAGCGCUUAAACUUUCCGCAAGAUUGUGGCUGUGGCGGGAGCGGGUGCCCAGACUGCCAGAUUACUGGUUCGCUGAAGGUGCAGUGCCCGCCGAACCAGCAUAGCAAGCAGGUGUUCAUUGGCGAUUCUCUGCAGAUCGAUGACGCCGAGGUGUACCCGGUGAGUGCGGAGGAGCAUGGCAUUUGGCUUGUGACGCUGGGACGCAGCCAGGUGCUGGAUCUGCAUGUCGUAAUUCGUAAGAACAUUGCCAAGACGCACGCCAAGUUUAUGCCAGUGGCGACGGUGGCGAUGCGCUACGCUCCUGAGAUCAUUCUCAACCCCAACGGGUUCCAGACCCUCGGGAAGGCGAAAGCGCGUGAGUGGGUGGCCCGCUGCCCGCGGAACGUCUUUCGGUUUGUCGAGCGCACUGGCCAGGUGGAGGUGCAAGACGAGGACGCCUGCAUCUUCUGCCGCGAGUGCACGUCGCAGGAGCCCCCGUUCGACAGGCUUCCCGAGCCGCUCGUGUUUGUGCGGCAGAAGAAGAACAAGAUGGGCUACUUCGACUUCACCUUCACAGUGGAGUCGACCGGGGUGCUACCGGUGCUGCAGAUUGUGUACGAUGCCGUGACGGUGGUGCGCAGGAAACUGCAACGGGUGAGUGAGGGCCUCAUGAAGGACCCGAACGCGGACGGUGUAAAGACCCGCACGAUUGGCCAGUCCACGACCGCCCCGGUCGUGCCAAACGCGGAUGCCGUGCGGAAGGGCGCGGAGGAGGACAACCUUGAUUUCACCAUGCAAUAAGUGUGCCGCGAUUGCACGUCUCGGUGAGCGUAGCGUAGAAGGUGAAGAGGUCGGGUUGCUCCGCCCAACGCCGCGGAUUGCAUGGCGUGUUGCGCGCUGCCUCUGUGUCUGUCCCGGCGUCUUUUUUGGUUGUUGUCUGGGGCGCUCUCCCAGGCCCGUGUGUAAGGCAUGCCAUAAAAUGGCCUCCCCCUCCAACGACACAAUCGCCACAGCCCAAGGAUACUUGCAUACACGAG